rnacentral:rRNA from 1 species
GACGAACGCUGGCGGCGUGCCUAAUACAUGCAAGUAGAACGCACAGUUUAUACCGUAGCUUGCUACACCAUAGACUGUGAGUUGCGAACGGGUGAGUAACGCGUAGGUAACCUGCCUGGUAGCGGGGGAUAACUAUUGGAAACGAUAGCUAAUACCGCAUAAUAUUGAUUAUUGCAUGAUAAUUGAUUGAAAGAUGCUAUUGCAUCACUACCAGAUGGACCUGCGUUGUAUUAGCUAGUAGGUGAGGUAACGGCUCACCUAGGCGACGAUACAUAGCCGACCUGAGAGGGUGAUCGGCCACACUGGGACUGAGACACGGCCCAGACUCCUACGGGAGGCAGCAGUAGGGAAUCUUCGGCAAUGGACGAAAGUCUGACCGAGCAACGCCGCGUGAGUGAAGAAGGUCUUCGGAUCGUAAAGCUCUGUUGUAAGAGACGAACGGGUGUGAGAGUGGAAAGUUCACACUGUGACGGUAUCUUACCAGAAAGGGACGGCUAACUACGUG